rfam:Felis catus isolate Cinnamon breed Abyssinian chromosome B2, whole genome shotgun sequence.
GCCCGGGUGGCUCAGUCGGUUGAGCGUCCGACUCCAGCUCAGGUCAUGAUCCCACCGCUCGUGAGUUCGAGCCCCGCGUCGGGCU